rnacentral:rRNA from 1 species
GACAGAGGGUGCAAACGUUGUUCGGAAUUACUGGGCGUAAAGGGCUCGUAGGCGGCCAACUAAGUCGGAUGUGAAAUCCCCAGGCUUAACCUGGGAACUGCAUCCGAUACUGGAUGGCUUGAAUCCGGGAGAGGGAUGCAGAAUUCCAGGUGUAGCGGUGAAAUGCGUAGAUAUCUGGAGGAACACCGGUGGCGAAGGCGGGUCUCUGGGCAGUAACUGACGCUGAGGAGCGAAAGCGUGGGGAGCGAACAGG